AACGCGAAGAACCUUACCAGCCUUUGACAUCCCGGUCGCGGGCACCAGAGAUGGAGCCCUUCAGUUCGGCUGGACCGGAGACAGGUGCUGCAUGGCUGUCGUCAGCUCGUGUCGUGAGAUGUUGGGUUAAGUCCCGCAACGAGCGCAACCCUCGCCCUUAGUUGCCAUCAUUUAGUUGGGCACUCUAAGGGGACUGCCGGUGAUAAGCCGGAGGAAGGUGGGGAUGACGUCAAGUCCUCAUGGCCCUUACAGGCUGGGCUACACACGUGCUACAAUGGCGGUGACAGAGGGAUGCAAGGGAGCAAUCCUCAGCAAAUCUCCAAAAGCCGUCUCAGUUCGGAUUGUGCUCUGCAACUCGAGCACAUGAAGUUGGAAUCGCUAGUAAUCGCAGAUCAGCACGCUGCGGUGAAUACGUUCCCGGGCCUUGUACACACCGCACUACUA
rnacentral:rRNA from 1 species